AACGAACGCUGGCGGCAUGCCUAACACAUGCAAGUCGAACGAGACCUUCGGGUCUAGUGGCGCACGGGUGCGUAACGCGUGGGAACCUGCCCUUAGGUUCGGAAUAACACCCCGAAAGGGGUGCUAAUACCGGAUAAUGUCUUCGGACCAAAGAUUUAUCGCCUUUGGAUGGGCCCGCGUUGGUUUAGCUAGUUGGUAGGGUAAAAGCCUACCAAGGCGACGAUCCAUAGCUGGUCUGAGAGGAUGAUCAGCCACACUGGGACUGAGACACGGCCCAGACUCCUACGGGAGGCAGCAGUGGGGAAUAUUGGACAAUGGGCGAAAGCCUGAUCCAGCAAUGCCGCGUGAGUGAUGAAGGCCUUAGGGUUGUAAAGCUCUUUUACCCGGGAUGAUAAUGACAGUACCGGGAGAAUAAGCUCCGGCUAACUCCGUG
rnacentral:rRNA from 1 species